rnacentral:rRNA from 1 species
UACGGGGGGGGCAAGCGUUGUUCGGAAUUACUGGGCGUAAAGGGCUCGUAGGCGGCCAACUAAGUCGGACGUGAAAUCCCUCGGCUUAACCGGGGAACUGCGUCCGAUACUGGAUGGCUUGAAUUCGGGAGAGGGAUGCAGAAUUCCAGGUGUAGCGGUGAAAUGCGUAGAUAUCUGGAGGAAUACCGGUGGCGAAGGCGGCAUCCUGGACCGACAUUGACGCUGAUGAGCGAAAGCUAGGGGAGCAAACGGG